AACGAACGCUGGCGGCAGGCCUAACACAUGCAAGUCGAACGCCCCGCAAGGGGAGUGGCAGACGGGUGAGUAACACGUGGGAACCUACCUCAAGGUGCGGAACAACCAAGGGAAACUUUGGCUGAUACCGCAUGUGCCCGAGAGGGGAAAGAUUUAUCGCCUUGGGAUGGGCCCGCGUCGGAUUAGCUAGUUGGUGGGGUAAAGGCCUACCAAGGCGACGAUCCGUAGCUGGCCUGAGAGGAUGACCAGCCACACUGGGACUGAGACACGGCCCAGACUCCUACGGGAGGCAGCAGUGGGGAAUAUUGGACAAUGGGCGCAAGCCUGAUCCAGCCAUGCCGCGUGUGUGAUGAAGGCCUUGGGGUUGUAAAGCACUUUCGCCGAUGAAGAUAAUGACGGUAGUCGGAGAAGAAGCCCCGGCUAACUUCGUGCCAGCCGCCGCAGUAAAAC
rnacentral:rRNA from 1 species